rnacentral:rRNA from 1 species
UACGUAGGGUGCGAGCGUUAAUCGGAAUUACUGGGCGUAAAGCGUGCGCAGGCGGUUAUUUAAGUCAGGUGUGAAAGCCCUGGGCUUAACCUAGGAAUUGCGCUUGAGACUGGAUAGCUUGGAGUGCGGCAGAGGGAGGUGGAAUUCCACGUGUAGCAGUGAAAUGCGUAGAGAUGUGGAGGAACACCGAUAACGAAGGUAGCUCACUAAUUUUUCACUGACGCUGAGGUACGAAAGCGUGGGGAUCAAACGGG